CCUACGGGGGGCAGCAGUGAGGAAUAUUGGUCAAUGGGCGCGAGCCUGAACCAGCCAAGUCGCGUGAGGGAAGACGGUCCUAUGGAUUGUAAACCUCUUUUGCCGGGGAGCAAAAGACGCCACGCGUGGCGUUCCGAGAGUACCCGAACAGAAAGCAUCGGCAAACUCCGCGCCAGCCGCUGCGGUAAUAGGGGGGAUGCGAUCGUUAUCCGGAUUUAUUGGGUUUAAAGGGUGCGCAGGCGGAAGAUCAAGUCAGCGGUAAAAUUGAGAGGCUCAACCUCUUCGAGCCGUUGAAACUGGUUGUCUUGAGUGAGUGAGAAGUAUGCGGAAUGCGUGGUGUAGCGGUGAAAUGCAUAGAUAUCACGCAGAACUCCGAUUGCGAAGGCAGCAUACCGGCGCUCAACUGACGCUCAUGCACGAAAGUGUGGGUAUCGAACAGGAUUAGAUACCCGAGUAGUC
rnacentral:rRNA from 1 species